GAAGUGACAGAAGUUAAGCAGCGACAUUACCUCAAAUGAGAAGCAACCACUAUGUUAUUUGAAAAGUUGAUCCAUUAGGAUGGCAGAUCUCAUCAAUUUUACAACAGAAACUAUGCAUGCUUGAGAGUCGAGAGAGAAUGGAAUUGAUAUUUUGAAAAAUAAAAUGCAUGGUUUUGAGGAGAUUAUCAAACAAUGAAACAACUAAUCAACCAGCCAAUGAAUUGAACAUGCAUACAAAGAAGACAUGACGUCUUGCAUAAACGUUACAAGGAAGACUAGUCACAUUAUUUAGAGAUAAAAUCUUCUUAUGCAAUUGCAAGAAAUUCCCAACGCCAAUAUAGAAAUCGUGUAGUUGGUAGCCUCAUGCGAUGGGAAUGACAUGACGCACGGGCCGUGGAAAUCAAAUCAAAGACCAAGUUGGUGGCUGACAAGAAAGCUUCAUGACAGAGCCAAUGAACUUUUGAUGCGGAGCAGGCGGCACACUAGGGUAUGGAAUUUAAUGCACCUUAUCAGCAUAAUCAUUAGUAAGAGAAGAAAAGCUGCCCUUUGAAGCUUAUAAAUACCCUAAGAGACUUCCAUGCAAAAGAAAACAAGGACAUCGGGGAAAAACUCUGCCCAAAUUCUUCAAAAAAAUUUACUCUUUGAGCCCUAGUGAAAUCUUAAGUGAAAGCUUAGGAUUUCUCUCUGGAAGCAGAAAGGGAACUUCACCUCCAACACUCUUUUUGAAGCAGUCAUCUCAAGUACCAUUCAAAUCUUUGAGUGCAUUGCCUCUUUGGGUGAAGAAGAGAAGAGCCAAAGGAAGAAAUCUUCUUUUGUGAUCGCAAGAAAUUCUCAACACCAAUAUAGGAAAGGUAUAGUUGGUGGCCUCAUGCGAUGGGGAAUGACAUGGCGCAUGGGCGGUGCAAGUCAAAUCAAAGACCAAGUUGGUGGCUAACAAGAAAGCUUCACAACAGAGCCAAUGAACUUAUGACGCGGAACAGGCGGCACAUCAGGGUAUGGAAUUUAAUGCACCUUAUCAGCAUAAUCAUUAGUAAGAGAAGAAAAACUGCCCUUUGACGCCUAUAAAUACCCUACGAGACUUCCAUGCAAAAAACGAGGACAUUGGGGAAGAACUUUGCCCAAAUUCUUACUUCAAAAGAUAUUUCCUCUUCGAGCCCUCGUGAAAUCUUAAGUGAAAGCAUAAGAUUUAUCUCUGGGCGCAAAAAGGGAAUUUCACCUCCAACACUCUUUUUGAAGCAGUCAUCUACAGAGCUGGAGGGAGCAAGGAAUUGCAUAAUGGCUUGAUUCUUUAUCUCCAUUCCAUAGUUGCAUAUGUAUUGUGUAAACGUUGAAAGACUUCUUUUUCUCAAUAUGCAUGCAUCUUCAAUCUAUCUUUUAUCCAUCUCCUCAACUUUUAUCAUGAACAACUGAUUUCUUUAUGGGUUGAAAAACAUUGCAGCUAACAUGAACUAAGUAAAGCUUAAUUAUGCGUUCAACUUGCUUUAUGUAUGCUUUAUAAACCACUUGAAUGAGUCGAGAGAUCAUUCUAAGUAGAUUGAAAACUAGGCUUGAAAAGGCCAAAGAUUUAGACCUCAUAAAACAAGGAGAGCAUCUUUAGAAAUGAAGAAAUAUCUAUUGCAUCAAAUACUCAUCGCAUGCAUCCUAGAGAUAGGAUAUUGUGCCUAAAUACACUAAGAAAUGCAAGUUGUAAUUUGAAUGAGUAAAAAAAUGCAUUAACAAGAUUUCACAUAACACUCACUUCAUCGCAUAAUUAAAACACAUCACCUAUGCGCUAGCCAACUACGCCACCACCCCUAGUUAGAUUUCAUGUUCCCCUCGAGGCUUCGACUUUGAAGACAUUAGGUUCUGUUUUGUAUAGUUGAAGCCCAUUCAUUGGGUUCCUUUUUUGGGCUUUGUAUGCCUUUGUAUUCUGUUAUUUUUACUCUUGUUAUUAUCUUUUUAAAAAAGAACCUUUCUAACAAGGAUUCUCUCUAAUUUUAUAGGUAUACAAACCUCACACUUAUGUUUGCAAAUGUCCUCAUUUAUAUUUUAUGCAAAAGAUCCUAUGCCUAGUAUGCAUUAUUUGGUGAUGAUAGCUACUUAUUAGGUCAGAUGCAACGCCAAACUUUGUUGGGUUGUGGAAGCUACCAUUGCAAAAAUUGGCAACUGACCAUUAGAGCAAAUUCUAUUGUAGAAUUGUGGG